rnacentral:misc_RNA from 1 species
GCUGGUUAGAAAAAAUAUCUGCAAAUAUGUGAGAAUUCAGAGUUAGGCCGUCGGCUUAACAGACCAAAUUCUUCUAAGCAUGCACAGCAAGCGAUGAAAGAAUCUGCAAUAAACUCAGCGCAAAGUACCAAAAUAUCAUCGAUUAGCCUUUAGCACUUGCAGAUCAAAUCCACUCAACAAAUCCAUUAUCAUUUAUAAAUGAUAGUAACAGUCAUAUUAAGGAUGCACCGGACAGCAAUUAAGAGUAAUAUAUAACCAAAU